CUGUAAUUGUAGCUGCAGGAACUCUAAGUAUUUUCCGGCUUUCGCACCAGGCCGAGGGAACUCAGGGAAAGGCAGGGAUUGGAUGGCUAUUUCCUCGGUUGGUGUCCCUUCGUCAACUUGUCCCGCAGGUGGUGAGGUGAAGAGAAGUGGAAGAAAAACUAACUUGACUUCAGUAAGUCAGAGCAAGAACCUUGUAAGGCAUGGUCGUGACUGCUGGAACCAGUACUCAUUCAGAGCUGGUGGUGCCUUGUCUCGUUGCAGGGUCUCAUGUUAGGAAGAGCCAAUUGGAAGGCAUCGACAGCCAGUGCUGGGUAUCGCCCCUGCCUGCUUUGUGGCUGCUGCUGCUGCACAAGUCUUACAAUCCAGAUGCCACACAGCACAUUAACUGCCCACUUACUCCAGUGUAAUGUCUCUUGUCUAAUAUGCGUUGCUAAACCUUUGACUAAAGUGGAGAGAUUCUAUACCAGGCCUGGAGGUAUCGAAGCUUGCAAACUCUUCCUGAUGAGCCAAGAACUCAAUCUCCAAGCCUCUAAAGAUAAACAAAUCCCAAUGAACAACACGAGUGGGUACCUGCCAGCCGUCCACUCUUGGUGCCGUCACUCCCAAGGGCAGGCCACCCAGGAACAGCUCCCGCCCGACAUUCACCUUGCGUGGGCCCUUCACAUUCUUGACAUUCUUGUUGUCAAUGUACAAGUUGAUGCGCUUCUUUGUUUUCUCCACCCUCACCUGUGGAAUAAAGGAUACACAUUCGAGGCACCUGCUAGAUGAUACUGAUAUUGAUAAAUCUGGAAAAUGGUUAGCUCAGUGGUACAUUUCUAACAAAGACUUUUCAGCUACACAUUUUAUUGUGAUAUCAAGUUUCUACAAUAAUUGCGAUAAUAGAAUCCACACACACUUUAAAUCCUGAUAAUAUGAGAGACUGAUUUCUGUGAAUUUGAAAUAUUCCUACAAAAGAAUAAAAUAGAAGACACUUUUA